GACGAACGCUGGCGGCGUGCUUAACACAUGCGAGUCGAACGGAAAGGCCCUGCUUGCAGGGUACUCGAGUGGCGAACGGGUGAGUAACACGUGGGUGAUCUGCCCUGCACUUCGGGAUAAGCCUGGGAAACUGGGUCUAAUACCGGAUAGGAGCCAUUUUUAGUGUGAUGGUUGGAAAGUUUUUCGGUGUAGGAUGGGCUCGCGGCCUAUCAGCUUGUUGGUGGGGUAAUGGCCUACCAAGGCGGCGACGGGUAGCCGGCCUGAGAGGGUGGACGGCCACAUUGGGACUGAGAUACGGCCCAGACUCCUACGGGAGGCAGCAGUGGGGAAUAUUGCACAAUGGGCGCAAGCCGGAUGCAGCGACGCCGCGUGGGGGAUGACGGCCUUCGGGUUGUAAACUCCUUUCGCUAGGGACGAAGCUUUUUGUGACGGUACCUAGAUAAGAAGCACCGGCUAACUACGUG
rnacentral:rRNA from 1 species